rnacentral:rRNA from 1 species
CAGGGGGAUAACCCGGAGAAAUCCGGACUAAUACCGCAUGGUACUCUUUGCACAGAAGUGUGAAGAUUUAAAGAUGCGAAUCGGUUGCGGACGGUCAUGCGUUCCAUUAGCUAGUUGGCGGGGUAACGGCCCACCAAGGCGACGAUGGAUAGGGGUUCUGAGAGGAAGGUCCCCCACACUGGUACUGAGACACGGACCAGACUCCUACGGGAGGCAGCAGUGAGGAAUAUUGGUCAAUGGACGAGAGCCUGAACCAGCCAAGUCGCGUGAGGGAAGACGGCCCUAUGGGUUGUAAACCUCUUUUAGAUGGGAGUAAAGUGUUCUACGCGUAGGAUAUUGCAAGUACCAUCAGAAUAAGCAUCGGCUAAUUCCGUGCCAGCAGCCGCGGUAAUACGGAAGAUGCGAGCGUUAUCCGGAUUUAUUGGGUUUAAAGGGUGCGUAGGCGGGUGAUUAAGUCAGCGGUGAAAUGCGUCAGCUUGACUGGCGAACUGCCAUUGAAACUGG